GACGAACGCUGGCGGCGUGCCUAAUACAUGCAAGUAGAACGCACAGUUUAUACCGUAGCUUGCUACACCAUAAACUGUGAGUUGCGAACGGGUGAGUAACGCGUAGGUAACCUGCCUGGUAGCGGGGGAUAACUAUUGGAAACGAUAGCUAAUACCGCAUAAUAUUGAUUAUUGCAUGAUAAUUGAUUGAAAGAUGCUAUUGCAUCACUACCAGAUGGACCUGCGUUGUAUUAGCUAGUAGGUGAGGUAACGGCUCACCUAGGCGACGAUACAUAGCCGACCUUGGAGGGUGAUCGGCCCCGCUGGGACUGAGACACGGCCCAGACUCCUACGGGAGGCAGCAGUAGGGAAUCUUCGGCAAUGGACGAAAGUCUGACCGAGCAACGCCGCGUGAGUGAAGAAGGUUUUCGGAUCGUAAAGCUCUGUUGUAAGAGAAGAACGGGUGUGAGAGUGGAAAGUUCACACUGUGACGGUAUCUUACCAGAAAGGGACGGCUAACUACGUG
rnacentral:rRNA from 1 species